rnacentral:rRNA from 1 species
GCAAGAACUCUAGCCCAACACCAACCCUAACAUGCCCCCCCCCACCUAAAACAAAUCAUUUGCCACAUUUAGUAUAUGAGAUARAAAAAUAUCAAUUGAAGCUAUAGAAAAAGUACCGCAAGGGAACGAUGAAAGAUAUGAUUUUAAUCAGCAACAAAAAGCAAUGACAAACCCACGUACCUCUUGCAUCAUGGUUUAGCAAGAACCCCCAGAUAAAGCGCACUAAAACCUGACCACCYGAAUCCAGACGAUCUACUCUAAGGCAAUUUUAAAGAAUCCACCCACCCCNNNAGCAAAAGGGGGGGAAGAYCUUAAAGUAGAGGCGAAAAACCAACYGAGCCUGGCGAUAGCUGGUUGCUCCAAAAACGAACUUAAGUUCCCCUCUAGGUAUUUUUCCUGACCCUAAAAUAGUCUUUUNNNNNNUACCUAGRAGUUAUUCAAUAAAGGAACAGCUUUAUUGAAACAGGACACAACCCAAAUCAGAGGCCUGACCAUUUUUAAACCCAGUAGGCCUUAAACCAGCCACCAAAAACAACCGCGUCAAAGCGUAACCCACUUCAAAUCYCAACCUUACUCCUCACACGCCCUGAUUUUUACAAGGAGCCACCCUAUUUACCAAUAGGAGCACUAAUGCUAAAACUARUAAUAARAAACCACUCUCCUGGCGCAACCAUUAAUCAGAAAUAGAUAAACUACUGAAAAUUAAACAAGCUAAYAACAGAAACACUAAACUACCACAAGUUAUUUUGUUACAUAGUUUGUAACCCCAACACAGGCGUGCCAAAAGGAAAGAUUAAAAGUCCAAAAAGGAAUUCAGCUAACUCGGGCCCCAACUGUUUACCAAAAACAUAGCCUUUARCCUAACAAGUAUUAAAGGUCUAGCCUGCCCAGUGACUAUUUCAACGGCCGCGGUAUCCUAACCGUGCAAAGGUAGCGUAAUCAUUUGUCUCCUAAAUAGGGACUUGUAUGAACGGCUAACUGAGGGCCCAACUGUCUCCUUAGACCAAUCAAUGAAACUGAUCUUUCAGUACAAAAGCUGAAAUAAAUCCAUAAGACGAGAAGACCCUGUGGAGCUUUAAACCCUCACUAUAAACACAANCCCCUACCCCAAAGGUACACAUUUACCCCNCAUAGUAAAGGUUUUCAGUUGGGGCGACUUUGGAAUAAAAUAAAACUUCCAUGCCAGGGAAAUCCCCUAUUAAGGCCAACACGCCAAAAUAAAACUUUAUUGACCCAGCCUGUCUGAUCAACGAACCAAGUUACCCCAGGGAUAACAGCGCCAUCCUCUUCAAGAGUUCCUAUCGACAAGAGGGUUUACGACCUCGAUGUUGGAUCAGGACACCCYGGUGRUGCAGCCGCUACCAAAGGUUCGUUUGUUCAACGAUUAACAGUCCUACGUGAUCUGAGUUCAGACCGGAGCAAUCCAGGUCGGUUUCUAUCUAUGCCUAUCUUCUUUAGUACGAAAGGACCAAGAAGACAAUACCAAUAGUCUAAACCACGUAUUGAUAACCAGCUGACAUACCACUCAAGCUAAAACUUUUCAAUGACCCCCCSSCCMGCCCAAGACAAGGGCAUUAU